rnacentral:miRNA from 14 species
UUUUUAUAUGUGUUUAUGUGUGUGUGUAUGUACAUAUAUAACAUAUGCAAUACAUGUACUAUAAUACACAUAA